rnacentral:rRNA from 1 species
AGUAGCCGCGGUAAUUCCAGCUCCAAUAGCGUAUAUUAAAGUUGUUGCAGUUAAAAGCUCGUAGUUGAAUUUCGGGGUCAGUAGGUUGGUCAUGCCACUGGUAUGUACUGGUCUCACUGAUUCCUCCUUCCUGAUGAACUGUAAUGCCAUUAAUUUGGUGUUGCAGGGAAUCUGGACUGUUACUUUGAAAAAUUAGAGUGUUCAAAGCAGGCCUUUGCUCGAAUACAUUAGCAUGGAAUAAUAGAAUAGGACGUGCGGUCCUAUUUUGUUGGUUUCUAGGACCGCCGUAAUGAUUAAUAGGGACAGUCGGGGGCGUCAGUAUUCAAUUGUCAGAGGUGAAAUUCUUAGAUCAAUUGAAGACUAACUACUGCGAAAGCAUUCGCCAAGGAUGUUUUCAUUAAUCAAGAACGAAAGUUAGGGGAUCGAAGACGAUCAGAUACCGUCGUAGUCUUAACCAUAAACUAUGCCGACUAGGGAUCGGAUGAUGUUAAUUUUUUAAUGACUCAUUCGGCGCCUUACGGGAAACCAAAGUG